rnacentral:rRNA from 1 species
CACGUAGGGCGCGAGCGUUGUCCGGAAUUAUUGGGCGUAAAGCGCGCGUAGGCGGUUACUUAUGUCGGAUGUGAAAGCCCUCGGCUUAACUGAGGAAGUGCAUUCGAAACUGGGUAGCUAGAGUACUAAAGAGGGUCGCGGAAUUCCCGGUGUAGAGGUGAAAUUCGUAGAUAUCGGGAGGAACACCGGUGGCGAAGGCGGCGACCUGGGUAGAUACUGACGCUGAGGCGCGAAAGCGUGGGGAGCAAACAGG